rnacentral:rRNA from 1 species
CCAGACUCCUACGGGAGGCAGCAGUGGGGAAUAUUGCACAAUGGGGGGAACCCUGAUGCAGCGACGCCGCGUGGGUGAAGGAGUACUUCGGUACGUAAAGCCCUAUCAGCAGGAAAGAAAAUGACGGUACCUGACUAAGAAGCCCCGGCUAACUACGUGCCAGCAGCCGCGGUAAUACGUAGGGGGCAAGCGUUAUCCGGAUUUACUGGGUGUAAAGGGAGCGCAGGUGGCAAGGCAAGCCAGAAGUGAAAACCCGGGGCUUAACCCCGCGGAUUGCUUUUGGAACUGUCUGGCUGGAGUGCAGGAGGGGCAGGCGGAAUUCCUAGUGUAGCGGUGAAAUGCGUAGAUAUUAGGAGGAACACCAGUGGCGAAGGCGGCUUACUGGACGGCAACUGACGCUGAGGCUCGAAAGCGUGGGUAGCGAACGGGAUUAGAUACCCCAGUAAU